UCAAUGGCAGGUCUCAGGGAGCAGCAUGUUCCUUCUGCAGUGACACUUAUCGAAGCCUUUGUGGCCCCGCAAGGGGUCUGCACCGCGACUGUAAAUAAUGGAUGCAGUGCCUGUAGCUACGCUCCAGGCAUGCAAGUCAGCGCUCUUGCUGGCGACACCUUCGAAUUGCGGGGACACCCUAAAGCCCGUGUCUACUAACCUGGUGGGGAAACCCGACCAGGGGCCUGUGUUAACAGCACAGGGUACAGUAAAAAGGACACGGGAUCAGCCUCUGGGCUGAAUGGGCAAUCCGCAGCCAAGCCCUACCGCGACUGCCCCCCGGCAGGCCAUGGGACAGGUUCACAGACUAAGUGGAGGUGGGCAGGCCUUGAGGACCUGCUUAAGAUAUAGUCGGGCCCCUUGGGAAACCUUGGGGGUUAAGUCACAAGCAAAACAAGUGGGAGGGUCUGUCAUGCAUCUGCGUGACUGCAUCCUGCUUGUGCCUAUGUCAACCGUUCCGUAGGUGAACCUGCGGAAGGAUCAUUACCGAGUGUUGGGGUCUCUCAGGCCCCUUACUCCCACCCCAUGUGUACCUACCUUUCUUCAGUUGCCUUGGCGGGUCCCUCCCUCAGCGGGAGGGGUUCAGCCCGCCAGGGGGACUCCCCCUAAACUCUUUGAACUUGGGUCGUCUGAGAAAGCAAUCAAAUGAAUGAAAACUUUCAACAACGGAUCUCUUGGUUCUGGCAUCGAUGAAGAACGCAGCGAAAUGCGAUAAGUAAUGUGAAUUGCAGAAUUCAGUGAAUCAUCGAAUCUUUGAACGCACAUUGCGCCCUCUGGUAUUCCGGGGGGCAUGCCUGUUCGAGCGUCAUUUCAAACCCUCAAGCUCCGGCUUGGUGUUGGGCGCCGUCCGCCUGAGGACGCGCCUGAAACUCGUAGGCGGUCGCGCGCGGCUCCUCAGCGUAGUCAAGUUCUCGCUCUGGACGCCCGCGUGCGGGCCCGCCUGGGAAACCACUCAUCUCAAAGGUUUGACCUCGGAUCAGGUAGGGAUACC
rnacentral:rRNA from 1 species